UACGAAGGGUGCAAGCGUUACUCGGAAUUACUGGGCGUAAAGCGUGCGUAGGUGGUCGUUUAAGUCUGUUGUGAAAGCCCUGGGCUCAACCUGGGAACUGCAGUGGAAACUGGACGACUAGAGUGUGGUAGAGGGUAGCGGAAUUCCCGGGUGUAGCAGUGAAAUGCGUAGAGAUCGGGAGGAACAUCCAUGGCGAAGGCAGCUACCUGGACCAACACUGACACUGAGGCACGAAAGCGUGGGGAGCAAACAGG
rnacentral:rRNA from 1 species